UUUAACCCUCAUAACAAUUCCAGGUUGGUGUUGCUAUCCUAGUGAACGGAUAAUGAAACUAAGUUUAGGGGAGGUUAAACUUCACAUGUUAGUAAAGAACAGAGCCAAGAUUUGACCCCAGAUACCUGACCUUCCUGACACGAAGCAUGAUGCUUUGCAGAGACAGCCCCAUUCUAAGGCAGGAUGCUUGGCAGUGGCCCUCUCCCCGUGACAGAUACAGAAAGGUGAUAGACACUUUACAAACAUGCUUCUUAAGAAGAAAAAUACUACGGUCACCAAAAAUAAAUAAAUUAUAUACACAGCUUUGGGAUCAAGCUGCUCCUUGACACCCUCCUGAGAUACCAGACAAUAAAAAAUGUAGAUUUUAAAAAGUAACCAUCACCUUAUGCUUUAUAAUAAGCCACAAUUUUGUGCUGUUCUUAUUCUAUUAAAGACAAUCGCUACAAUAUAUAAACAUGGUUAGAAACCAUGCAAGCAAGAAAAGCAUGUGGUGAAAUAUUUAAAGAAUUGAAAGGAAAAAAAAAUCUACCUAGAAGUUUGUACCCAGUGAAAUUAUCCUCCAAAAGUGAAGGAAAAAUAAAGACUUUAUCAGAAAAAAGAAUUGAUGUAGACCUACCUUGCAAAGAAGGAUUACAAGAAGUUCUUCAGAGAGGAGGAAAAUGGUGUAGGUCAGAAACUUGGGUCUGCAUAAGCAACAGGGAGCAUCAGGAAAGAAGUUAGGUUGUCAAUAAAAGAGCCACGAGAGAGAGAGAAGAGAACUUGAAGAGACAAUAAAGGACACAAUUUGCUGCUUUCUGAAUCACUGAUGAAUCUGAGUCAGUUAAGGUAUAAAUGCUUCAAAAAUAAAUAGUAUGAAUGGCAAGAAUGGACUCUUGUUAAGUACUUUCUAAUAGUAGAAUUUGCAUUUAUUAUAAACCUGCAUCGAUGUUGCACUUUUAUCAAAAUUAAAGCCAUUAAGUCAAAUAAUCCUAGUUUAAUUAUGAAUAAGAGAUGUAUUAAUCAACUACUGUAAGUACAUUGUCACAUUAUUUAAAGAAAACUAAAAAAUCAUUUUGACAAGGAGAUCAUGUGCCAAACUUAAUAAACAUAGCCAGGACAAUUUGGGUUGCUUAAAGAUUUUUAAAAACAAAUUUGUAUGGAGAUUUUUGCAGCAUGGAUAUGGAUAUAGAUAUAGAUAAGUAGAUAUAUAUAUAUAUGAAACAAGAUCAUUAGCAAUGUUUAGGUCUGGUUUAUGGGAUUAGGUAAUAAAUUUUCUUUUUGUAUUUUUUACAUUUUUGAUCUUUUUUUAAGUUCAAAUCAUGUUAUUAAAUUAUUAUUUUUUUAAUUUUAUUAUUAUUAUACUUUAAGUUUUAGGGUACAUGUGCACAAUGUGCAGGUUUGUUACAUAUGUAUAUAUGUGCCAUGUCGGUGUGCUACACCCAUUAACUCAUUAUUUAGCAUUAGGUAUAUCUCCUAAUGCUAUCCCUCCCCCCUCCUCCCACCCCACAACAGGCCCCGGUGUGUUAUGUUCCCCUUCCUGUGUCCAUGUGUUCUCAUCGUU
rnacentral:lncRNA from 10 species